rnacentral:rRNA from 2 species
UACCAGGUCUUGACAUCCUCUGACAACUCUAGAGAUAGAGCGUUCCCCUUCGGGGGACAGAGUGACAGGUGGUGCAUGGUUGUCGUCAGCUCGUGUCGUGAGAUGUUGGGUUAAGUCCCGCAACGAGCGCAACCCUUGAUCUUAGUUGCCAGCAUUCAGUUGGGCACUCUAAGGUGACUGCCGGUGACAAACCGGAGGAAGGUGGGGAUGACGUCAAAUCAUCAUGCCCCUUAUGACCUGGGCUACACACGUGCUACAAUGGAUGGUACAAAGGGCUGCAAGACCGCGAGGUCAAGCCAAUCCCAUAAAACCAUUCUCAGUUCGGAUUGUAGGCUGCAACUCGCCUACAUGAAGCUGGAAUCGCUAGUAAUCGCGGAUCAGCAUGCCGCGGUGAAUACGUUCCCGGGCCUUGUACACACCGCCCGUCACACCACGAGAGUUUGUAACACCCGAAGUCGGUGGAGUAACCGUAAGGAG